rnacentral:tRNA from 1 species
AAAGCUUUAAGUUAAAUAUAAACUAUUAACCUUCAAAGUUAAAAACAUAUUAUAUAUAAGCUUUA